UUUCCGUAGGUGAACCUGCGGAAGGAUCAUUCACAAUAAGUGUUUUAUGGCACUUUUUUAAAUCCAUAUCCACCUUGUGUGCAAUGUCAGGGUUGAUUUUUCUCUCGAGAGGAUCAACCCCAAACAUCAACUAUAUCUCAACUCUUUGUCUGAAAAAUAUUAUGAAUAAAACAAUUCAAAAUACAACUUUCAACAACGGAUCUCUUGGCUCUC
rnacentral:misc_RNA from 1 species